rnacentral:rRNA from 1 species
GACGAACGCUGGCGGCGUGCUUAACACAUGCAAGUCGAACGGAAAGGCCUCUUUCGGGGGGUACUCGAGUGGCGAACGGGUGAGUAACACGUGAGUAACCUGCCCUUGACUUUGGGAUAACUUCAGGAAACUGGGGCUAAUACCGGAUAGGAGCUCCUGCUGCAUGGUGGGGGUUGGAAAGUUUCGGCGGUUGGGGAUGGACUCGCGGCUUAUCAGCUUGUUGGUGGGGUAGUGGCUUACCAAGGCUUUGACGGGUAGCCGGCCUGAGAGGGUGACCGGCCACAUUGGGACUGAGAUACGGCCCAGACUCCUACGGGAGGCAGCAGUGGGGAAUAUUGCACAAUGGGUGGAAGCCUGAUGCAGCAACGCCGUGUGCGGGAUGACGGCCUUCGGGUUGUAAACUGCUUUCGCUCAUGACGAAGCUUUGUGUGACGGUAGCGGGUAAAGAAGCACCGGCUAACUACGUG